rnacentral:rRNA from 1 species
AGCGAACGCUGGCGGCAGGCUUAACACAUGCAAGUCGAGCGGACCUUUCGGGGUCAGCGGCGGACGGGUGAGUAACGCGUGGGAACGUUCCUUCCGGUUCGGAAUAACCCUGGGAAACUAGGGCUAAUACCGGAUACGCCCUUAUGGGGAAAGGUUUACUGCCCGAAGAUCGGCCCGCGUCUGAUUAGCUAGUUGGUGGGGUAACGGCCUACCAAGGCGACGAUCAGUAGCUGGUCUGAGAGGAUGAUCAGCCACACUGGGACUGAGACACGGCCCAGACUCCUACGGGAGGCAGCAGUGGGGAAUAUUGGACAAUGGGCGCAAGCCUGAUCCAGCCAUGCCGCGUGAGUGAUGAAGGCCUUAGGGUUGUAAAGCUCUUUUAUCCGGGACGAUAAUGACGGUACCGGAGGAAUAAGCCCCGGCUAACUUCGUG